ensembl:lncRNA
CCCUUGUACUCUUUACUCACCACCCACUAUGGGUAACGCCUGAGUAUGAUAUGAUAUCACAGCCAGGAAGCUGACCAUAUAAUUUUUCAGAUUGCACCAGUUUGACAUGCACUCAUUUUGAUGAUAUUUAAAGCCUCUUCUAGUUCACAGGAGGAAACUUCCCACCUGCUCCUCAUGAAACCUGUGACUCAUCUCCGGAGAACAAGAGAACGUCUGUGUCCAUUGCAACACUUGGGAGACUCCUCAGGCUGGGAUUUAGGGGGGGCUUAGUGCUGCUCAUUUUCCAUGACAGUUGGGGUGAUGGAUGCCACAGGGGAGGGCAGCUGGCAGCCGUGGAUUCACAGGACAGGCUCGAAGCUGGAAGUGGGCUGGAGAAGAAGCUGUACUCAGCCCUUCAGGAGAGAGAGAGAGAGAAAACAGGGGCGUGGAGCUGGGCGGGUGGAUUCUUUAUCACUGAGCCACUAGUGAUAAAGCCCAUCAGACGAAUGGCUGAUUCAUCCGGCUAUGCCAGGUGUGAGCCCUACAAGGUGAGCCUGGGCCUGGACCCAGGUGUGAAAUACCCCAGGAAGCCAACAGGAGCUGGGCUGCCAAUCAAAGGGCUGUCCCUGAUGGCAUAGUGGUCUGGCGGCCCACCCCCUGCCUGCCUCUCCAUCACCAAGCUCCAGGAACACUGCCUCCUUGCCAUUUCCUGAAUGAACCUGGGUCUUCUUUGAUGUCCCUUGAGGACAGCUCCUUCUCGUGCAGCAGGAGAGAUCCCCUCUCCCCAACCCUUCCUUGGAGACUGUCCUUGGCACCAGGCCCAAUGACCUCUCCUCCCCAGGCCCUUCUAGCACCUUGCCUGCCUGACUGCCCACCCCUCACCUCACUGGUCUUAUC